ACGCGUUAGCUCAGUUGGUAGAGCAACUUUCCUGUAAGUGGAAGGUCACCAGUUCGAUUCUUGUUCACGGCGUG
rnacentral:tRNA from 1 species